UACGAAGGGGGCUAGCGUUGCUCGGAAUCACUGGGCGUAAAGGGCGCGUAGGCGGUGCGGUAAGUCCGCAGUGAAAUCUCUGGGCUCAACUCAGAGUCUGCUGUGGAAACUGCCGUGCUCGAGUGUGGGAGAGGUGAGUGGAAUUCCCGGUGUAGCGGUGAAAUGCGUAGAUAUCAGGAGGAACACCUGUGGCGAAAGCGGCGCACUGGACCACAACUGACGCUGAGGCGCGAAAGCUAGGGGAGCAAACAGG
rnacentral:rRNA from 1 species